rnacentral:antisense_RNA from 1 species
AGCCUUGGGCCCCACGCGCGCGAGCGCCGCCCGCACCCCGGCCGCCCUCCCACCGCCAGCGGCUCCGCACCCGGCGCCCGCAGCCCUCGUACCUCACACCGCUGCUCCGAAAGCCCCGGAACGCGCUCUCGGGCUCUCGCGGUGCCCUUACAGAGGGUGCUGUGCUUCUGCCCAAAGCCGGCGCUCGGCCAAGACGGCCGCGGAGCAGCGAGAAGCCGCGGACCGGCACCGUCAUGGCCGCGGAUCCCCGGCUUCCGGACCGGGGCUCCACCUCCCGCGACUCCAGUCCUCGCGGCUGGAGGCCUGGCUCCGCCCUCACCCGGCCUGGCAGGGCAGCAAGUAACGCUGUCAGCCAGGUUCCGGCAGACACGCAGAGUGGGGUCAGGAGCGGUUCCCAGGGCCGGGGACGGAACUGACAGAGCGCCGGGUCCGCAGGGGGCGGGGCCAGGACCCAAGCCCGGGGCCCCCUGAGGAUGUGGAGGCGUGCAGUGUGGCCUGGCGACUGGGCCCCGCACCCAGCCAACACACAGCUGGCAUUCCCAUAGCGACGGCACAGAGAACGCCUCCAAACUAUCACUUUAGGUAGCACGCCCCACUUUCCACCAAGCCAGAGAUCCUGCCCAACAGUCUCCGUGACUAAGUGGAAUUGGAUUUAAAGCAGGAAAGAAGUAAUAGGUUCAUUGUUUCCCACUUCCUUUGUGAGAUUCCUUGGAAGUUGGAGAAAAGAACAAAGGUGUGUGGAGAAGGAGCAAAACCUGGCUGAACAAGGAAGGUCUGGACUUUAGGAUUUCUCUACUCCUACUUUAUCAUCUCCACUUUUGGAAGGAAAUAUUGACCAAUAUCUGUCUUUUCCUGAGUUAUGAUCAAGUCGAUGCAGGCUAAGAACCCUGCAUUGUGUGGUGAGCUUGUGUGGUGAGGAAGCAAAAUAUCUGCUCCCUCUGAAAAAGUAAAACAUUAGACUGUCCAUUCAUUGUGCAAAUUAAAACAGACACACAAAAAACAGUCACAGACAAAACCAGCUGGGAAGUUAACAGGAAACAACUUUUCUCCCAAGGUCAGGCUGCUGCUGUUGAGUCAGAACAACGUCUUUCAUAGCUGCACUUUUACUGAGAAAACUUGUUUUUUAAAAUCAUAGACUGUCAGAAAAUACGCUCUUUAAAAUCAUAUCAAUAAGAAUGGGAUACCUUACUCUUUCCUGGCUGAUCUAAAUCCAUUUGACACAAAUAAGCUGCCUAGAAGAAAAUACAGGAAAAAAUCUAGGUGACCUUGGGUUUGGCAAUGAGACUUUAGAUACAACACUUAAAUCACAAUUCAUAAAAGAAAAAAACAAUUUAAACUUCUGCCAUGCAAAAGACACUGUUAAGAUAAUAAAGAAACAAAUCACAUACUGGGAGAAAAUAUUUGCAAAACAUUUUUACAAGGACUUACACCCAAAAUAUAAGAAGAACUCUUAAAACUCAACAAUUAAAGAAAAAAAAAAAACAAGCAACUCAGUUAAAAGUGAGCAAAAGAUCUGAAAACACCCACCAAAAAAGGUAUACAGAGGUCAAAAACAAUGGAAAAAGGUUCAAUGUCAUUUAUCAUUAAGGAAAUACAAAUUAAAACAACAAUGAGAUACCACUACACUCCCAUUAGAACCGCUGAAGUCCAAAAAAUUGAUAAUACCAAAUGCUAGCAAGGAUGUGUGGCAACAAGAACUUUCAUUCAUAGUUGGUGAUAAAAAAUGGUUCGGUCACUUUGGAAGACAGUUUGGCAGAUUCUUACAAAGCUAAAUAUCAUUUAACCAUGCAAUCCAGCAACCAUGUUCCUAUAUAUUUACCCAACUGAUUUUAAAAUAUGUCUGCAAUAAACCGCCAUAUGAAUGUUUAUA